rnacentral:tRNA from 2 species
GGCGGCGUAGCUCAGCUGGCUAGAGCGUUCGGUUCAUACCCGAAAGGUCGGGGGUUCGAUCCCCUCUGCCGCCA